rnacentral:rRNA from 1 species
GGCUACCAUGCAGGUCGAGGGGCAGCAUUUCAGUUUGCUUGCAAACUGGAGAUGGCGACCGGCGCACGGGUGAGUAACACGUAUCCAACCUGCCGAUAACUCGGGGAUAGCCUUUCGAAAGAAAGAUUAAUACCCGAUGGUAUAAUCAGACCGCAUGGUCUUGUUAUUAAAGAAUUUCGGUUAUCGAUGGGGAUGCGUUCCAUUAGGCAGUUGGUGAGGUAACGGCUCACCAAACCUUCGAUGGAUAGGGGUUCUGAGAGGAAGGUCCCCCACAUUGGAACUGAGACACGGUCCAAACUCCUACGGGAGGCAGCAGUGAGGAAUAUUGGUCAAUGGGCGCAGGCCUGAACCAGCCAAGUAGCGUGAAGGAUGACUGCCCUAUGGGUUGUAAACUUCUUUUAUAUGGGAAUAAAGUUUUCCACGUGUGGAAUUUUGUAUGUACCAUAUGAAUAAGGAUCGGCUAACUCCGUGCCAGCAGCCGCGGUAAUACGGAGGAUCCGAGCGUUAUCCGGAUUUAUUGGGUUUAAAGGGAGCGUAGGUGGACAGUUAAGUCAGUUGUGAAAGUUUGCGGCUCAACCGUAAAAUUGCAGUUGAUACUGGCUGUCUUGAGUACAGUAGAGGUGGGCGGAAUUCGUGGUGUAGCGGUGAAAUGCUUAGAUAUCACGAAGAACUCCGAUUGCGAAGGCAGCUCACUGGACUGCAACUGACACUGAUGCUCGAAAGUGUGGGUAUCAAACAGGAUUAGAUACCCUGGUAGUCCACACAGUAAACGAUGAAUACUCGCUGUUUGCGAUAUACAGUAAGCGGCCAAGCGAAAGCAUUAAGUAUUCCACCUGGGGAGUACGCCGGCAACGGUGAAACUCAAAGGAAUUGACGGGGGCCCGCACAAGCGGAGGAACAUGUGGUUUAAUUCGAUGAUACGCGAGGAACCUUACCCGGGCUUAAAUUGCAUUUGAAUAUAUUGGAAACAGUAUAGCCGUAAGGCAAAUGUGAAGGUGCUGCAUGGUUGUCGUCAGCUCGUGCCGUGAGGUGUCGGCUUAAGUGCCAUAACGAGCGCAACCCUUAUCUUUAGUUACUAACAGGUCAUGCUGAGGACUCUAGAGAGACUGCCGUCGUAAGAUGUGAGGAAGGUGGGGAUGACGUCAAAUCAGCACGGCCCUUACGUCCGGGGCUACACACGUGUUACAAUGGGGGGUACAGAAGGCAGCUACCUGGUGACAGGAUGCUAAUCCCAAAAGCCUCUCUCAGUUCGGAUCGAAGUCUGCAACCCGACUUCGUGAAGCUGGAUUCGCUAGUAAUCGCGCAUCAGCCAUGGCGCGGUGAAUACGUUCCCGGGCCUUGUACACACCGCCCGUCAAGCCAUGAAAGCCGGGGGUACCUGAAGUACGUAACCGCAAGGAGCUCCUAGG